CAUAGGCCAUAGAAUCUCGUAGGAAAAGAAGUAGCCCAGGUCACGGCAGGUAAACGCGUAAUCGCUUCAAUUAGCGUACGAUCAGGAGGGAAAAGAGCAGCUACGCACAGGGUAGCCCGGCGCUGUACGCAGCGACGACGGAGCACGCACAUCACCUAGUCCCUGAAAAUUAGCACUGCCGGAGUAGGCGCACACGUACAUCGCCGAGCGCCUGCCACCAGACAACGCCAACACAUCAUCGCCGAGCGUCCAGCCACUGGUGCCUGAUCUAAUCAAUCCAAGAUUUACGCGUCUAUGGUUCCUGCAACAUCCAAAAAGAUGCUUCUGAACCUUCAUAUUAUUGAAGAACCAUUAUUGCUAAAUAAUGACCCAACAAAGCUUAAACGAUUGUGCAACAUUAUGAAUGGAGAAGAAAUUGAUGGAUGAGAUUAACGUCGACACAAUCAUAAGUGACUUUGCAUCGAAGUUUUUUACAAGAAUUUUUUGCAGGUAACAUGUGUAAGUUAUUUUAUAUGAAUAUUGGCUUUUGGCUGUAUUUAAGUAAUUAUUGAUAACAUUUUGUAAAUGCAUAGAGUACUUUUAUCAUUGUUAUGAUUUUUACAUUAGGGGCCUCAAAUUUUACUUUCGCCCCGGGCCCCCAAAAUCUCAGGACCGGCCCUGCCUGCGAGUGGCACCGACUACCUAUCUGAGGAGCAAUGCUACCUUGUUGAUCUUCCUGGGAAGCAAACCCCCUUGAUCAUUCUGAUAAAAUCCCACUCUCUCGCUUCUGCACUCUUUUAUUGCAUAAAACGAAACCCGGUAAAAACCUACAAAUAAACAAAGGAAAUUGAAGAAACGGAAGAACACAAAAAUGAAAGAAAGCAAACCCAAUAA